AGUAAAUAGAUACCCGGGUAGUCCACGCCGUAAACGAUGUCGACUUGGAGGUUGUGCCCUUGAGGCGUGGCUUCCGGAGCUGACGCGUUAAGUCGACCGCCUGGGGAGUACGGCCGCAAGGUUAAACUCAAAUGAAUUGACGGGGGCCCGCACAAGCGGUGGAGCAUGUGGUUUAAUUCGAUGCAACGCGAAGAACCUUACCUACUCUUGACAUCCAGAGAACUUAGCAGAGAUGCUUUGGUGCCUUCGGGAACUCUGAGACAGGUGCUGCAUGGCUGUCGUCAGCUCGUGUUGUGAAAUGUUGGGUUAAGUCCCGCAACGAGCGCAACCCUUAUCCUUUGUUGCCAGCGGUCCGGCCGGGAACUCAAAGGAGACUGCCAGUGAUAAACUGGAGGAAGGUGGGGAUGACGUCAAGUCAUCAUGGCCCUUACGAGUAGGGCUACACACGUGCUACAAUGGCGCAUACAAAGAGAAGCGACCUCGCGAGAGCAAGCGGACCUCAUAAAGUGCGUCGUAGUCCGG
rnacentral:rRNA from 1 species